rnacentral:rRNA from 1 species
CAGUAGCCGCGGUAAUACGAAGGGUGCAAGCGUUAAUCGGAAUUACUGGGCGUAAAGCGUGCGUAGGCGGUGAGUUAAGUCUGCUGUGAAAUCCCCGGGCUCAACCUGGGAAUGGCAGUGGAUACUGGCUCGCUAGAGUGUGUCAGAGGAUGGUGGAAUUCCCGGUGUAGAGGUGAAAUUCGUAGAUAUUCGGAAGAACACCAGUGGCGAAGGCGGCUCACUGGCUCAUACUGGACGCUGAGGUGCGAAAGCGUGGGGAGCAAACAGGAUUAGAUACCCCGGUAGUCCCUGUCUCUUAUAC